rnacentral:rRNA from 1 species
GAUGAACGCUGGCGGCGUGCCUAAUACAUGCAAGUCGAACGGGGUACUAGAGCAAUCUUGUACUUAGUGGCGAACGGGUGAGUAACGCGUUGGUGACCUGCCCCAAAGCGGGGGAUAACAGCCUGAAAAGGUUGCUAAUACCGCAUGUGGUCAAGGGAGAUUAGAAACCCUUGAUUAAAGGAGAAAUCCACUUUGGGAGGGGCCUGCGUCCCAUCAGCUAGUUGGUAGGGUAAAGGCCUACCAAGGCUUGGACGGGUAGGGGACCUGAGAGGGUGACCCCCCACAAUGGAACUGAAACACGGUCCAUACACCUACGGGUGGCAGCAGUGGGGAAUAUUGCACCAUGGGCGAAAGCCUGAUGCAGCAACGCCGCGUGAGUGAUGAAGGCCCUCGGGUCGUAAAACUCUUUUCAAGAGGAAGAGGAAGGACGGUACUCUUGGAAUAAGCCUCGGCUAACUACGUGCCAGCCGCCGCGGUAACAC